UUUUUAUUGGAGGCUAAAAAAAAAUGUUUAUGCAAUGAUAAAACGAGUUAAGCAUUUUUUUUUUUUUUAAGUUGCCGACUCACCUGACAUUGGAACAACCA
rnacentral:sRNA from 1 species